rnacentral:lncRNA from 1 species
AUUCCACAAAUUUCAUGGAGUAUAGAAGUCAAAACUUUAACCAACUGAGUAUAAUAAAGAAUGGAAUAACAAAAGAAAUCACCAUGCCUGUGAUACUUCGCAUAGACAGGUUAUUCCAACAGAAUAAUAAUAAUGGAACCAGGUCAGGCAAAAUUCGUACCGACAGGAUAUUCCAACAGAAUAAUAAAUAACGGAACCAGGUCCGGCGUAAAACGCACAGACAGGAUAUUCCAACAUAAUAAAAAAGACGGAAUCAGGUCCGGCAUAAAACGCACAGACAUGAUAUUCUAAUAGAAUAAUAAUAAAGACGGAACCAGGUCCGGCGUAAACGCUCAGACAAGAUAUUCCAACAGAAUAAUAAUAAAGACGGAAUAUUAGAAGAAUGUCACCAAGUAUAGGAUAGUCCGCGUAUACUGGUUAUUCCAGCAGAAUAAUAAAGAAUGGAAUAAUAGAAGUUCUCUUUAUAAAUACGAAAGAAAUAAUACCCCUUACGAGUACAACAAAUAAUAUCCCUUACCUUAGAAAGAAGAGUACUGGAUAUAAAAGUAGUGAAGUAGCAGAACACUUUUCUUCUUUCUCUCUAUAGUUUCUCUCUCUAGAGUUUCAGUGAAUUCGUAAGAAAUAAUGAAUGAAUGAGCUUCUAUUUAUAGAAAAAUGGACUGCAUAGUAACUAACUCAUGAACGGUCCAGAUUGAUUUACUUUAAUCUGACGGUCCAUAUUUAAA